AGAGUUUGAUCCUGGCUCAGGAUGAACGCUGGCGGCGUGCCUAACACAUGCAAGUCGAGCGAUUUACUUCGGUAAAGAGCGGCGGACGGGUGAGUAACGCGUGGGUAACCUGCCCUAUACACACGGAUAACAUACCGAAAGGUAUGCUAAUACGAGAUAAUAUAAGAGAUUCACAUGGAUUUCUUAUCAAAGCUGAGGCGGUAUAGGAUGGACCCGCGUCUGAUUAGCUAGUUGGUAAGGUAACGGCUUACCAAGGCGACGAUCAGUAGCCGACCUGAGAGGGUGAUCGGCCACAUUGGAACUGAGACACGGUCCAAACUCCUACGGGAGGCAGCAGUGGGGAAUAUUGCACAAUGGGCGAAAGCCUGAUGCAGCAACGCCGCGUGAGUGAUGAAGGCCUUCGGGUCGUAAAACUCUGUCCUCAAGGAAGAUAAUGACGGUACUUGAGGAGGAAGCCCCGGCUAACUACGUGCCAGCAGCCGCGGUAAUACGUAGGGGGCUAGCGUUAUCCGGAUUUACUGGGCGUAAAGGGUGCGUAGGUGGUCUCUUAAGUCAGGAGUGAAAGGCUACGGCUUAACCGUAGUAAGCUCUUGAAACUGGGAGACUUGAGUGCAGGAGAGGAAAGUGGAAUUCCUAGUGUAGCGGUGAAAUGCGUAGAUAUUAGGAGGAACACCAGUAGCGAAGGCGGCUUUCUGGACUGUAACUGACACUGAGGCACGAAAGCGUGGGGAGCGAACAGGAUUAGAUACCCUGGUAGUCCACGCUGUAAACGAUGAGUACUACGUGUCGGGGGUUACCCCCCUCGGUGCCGCAGCUAACGCAUUAAGUACUCCGCCUGGGGAGUACGCUCGCAAGAGUGAAACUCAAAGGAAUUGACGG
rnacentral:rRNA from 1 species